rnacentral:lncRNA from 1 species
GGAAAUCUCAGCCAUUCAGUGUUUGGGUGAAGACGGAGGCGGGUUCUGGACAGACCUACGCUGUCGGGGAGUGUUUACUUCGCCUCCACUUCUGUUCCUCCCCGCCCUGGUGCUGCUCCAGGUCACAUACUCUUCCUGAGCCGGCUUCAGCCUCUCCGCGCAGAAGUCUCCCGGAGCCAUGGCCUAGUAUUCUUAUGUGAAGUCUACCAAGCUUGUGCUCAAGGGAACCGAGGUGAAGAGCUGGGUCCUGCAGCUCCGGCGGGAGCCUCCUCAGUUCUUUUCGGACGCACUCCACCCCCGCGAAUCCGGUGGAAGCCGUGAUGCGGAGAGCCGGCUUCGUGGCCUCCCAGGCUUCGCUCUGACCCUGUCUGGGCUGGAUGGAGGCCGGACCGCCCUUCCUGGCGCCUGUGCAGAGAGGGGCAGCCUCCUGCGCGGACGACCCUGGAAACAGGAUAGACGGGCGGGUGACCCGUGACCCCGUACCCACGAGUUUGGGUCCCUUGAGGCAUCUCUCCAGGCCUCUGCCUGUAAGAAGAAAAAGAGCAAAGAUAAGAAGAGAAAAAGAGAAGAUGAAGAAACCCAGCUUGAUAUGUUGAAUCGCCCUGAAACCUGGCUAUGGAAAAUAUCUUAGUAUAAAUUCAGAUGAACUUGUUGUUGGCGUUCAGAUGCAAUUGGACCAAGAGAACAAUGGGAACCAGUCUUUCAAAAUGUGAGUGCUGUUAUUGUUUAUAAAAACUUCCUGUCAGUUUAACACAAAGUCUGUAGCAGUCAAUAAUAAUAUAUUUAAAAAGAAAAAGUAGGAUGCAAUAGUACAAUACAUUAAAUUGGAAUAAAUCAGUAAGAACACAGAGCCUUAAAGAGAUCUCAAAAUAUAGUGCAACAAAAA